GAAAAAAGAAGAGAGCUUUCUUCAGUCCAAACAUGGGUGGCAGUAGGAUUCAAUUAGCUUCCGACUCAUUCAUCCAAAUGCUGAGAUGAGAUGACGAUGAACCCGGCCUUGAUGACUAAUGAACACUGUCUCAGUAACUGAGUGAAUGAUGCGGGAGACAAGUUGGAUCUUAAGCUUCCUGUACUUGGACUGAAGGGAGCUCCCUUUUUAACCUUU
rfam:Ipomoea nil DNA, scaffold: scaffold2036, cultivar: Tokyo-kokei standard.